AGUGAACGCUGGCGAUAGGCCUAACACAUGCAAGUCGAACGGCAGCACAGUAAGAGCUUGCUCUUACGGGUGGCGAGUGGCGGACGGGUGAGGAAUACAUCGGAAUCUACUUUUUCGUGGGGGAUAACGUAGGGAAACUAACGCUAAUACCGCAUACGACCUACGGGUGAAAGCAGGGGAUCUUCGGACCUUGCGCGAUUGAAUGAGCGGAUGUCGGAUUAGCUAGUUGGCGGGGUAAAGGCCCACCAAGGCGACGAUCCGUAGCUGGUCUGAGAGGAUGAUCAGCCACACUGGAACUGAGACACGGUCCAGACUCCUACGGGAGGCAGCAGUGGGGAAUAUUGGACAAUGGGCGCAAGCCUGAUCCAGCCAUACCGCGUGGGUGAAGAAGGCCUUCGGGUUGUAAAGCCCUUUUGUUGGGAAAGAAAAGCAGCAGGUUAAUACCCCGCUGUUCUGACGGUACCCAAAGAAUAAGCACCGGCUAACUUCGUG
rnacentral:rRNA from 1 species